rnacentral:rRNA from 1 species
UACGUAGGGCGCAAGCGUUAUCCGGAAUUAUUGGGCGUAAAGAGCUCGUAGGUGGCGUGUCGCGUCUGCCGUGAAAGCCCAUGGCUUAACUGUGGGUCUGCGGUGGAUACGGGCAGGCUGGAGGCUGGUAGGGGCAAGCGGAAUUCCUGGUGUAGCGGUGAAAUGCGCAGAUAUCAGGAAGAACACCAAUGGCGAAGGCAGCUCUCUGGGACGGUACUGACGCUGAGACGCGAAAGCGUGGGGAGCGAACAGG